rnacentral:rRNA from 1 species
UUCCGGUUGAUCCUGCCGGACCCUACUGCUAUCGGGGGAGGACUAAAACAUGCAAGUCGUGCGCCUCCAAGCUAUGAUGGAGACGCGGCAUACGGCUCAGUAACACGUGGCUAACCCACCCUUGAGACGGAGAAAACCCCGGGAAACUGGGGCUAAUCCCCGAUAGGAGAAGACACCUGGAAGGGGUCUUUUCCCAAAAGGCGCUUAGAUCAUGCUUCUAGACGCCGCUCAAGGACGGGGCCGCGGCCGAUCAGGUUGUUGGUGAGGCAAUGGCUCACCAAGCCUGUAACCGGUACGGGCCGUGAGAGCGGGAGCCCGGAGAUGGGCACUGAGACAAGGGCCCAGGCCCUACGGGGCGCAGCAGUUGCGAAAACUCCGCAAUGCACGAAAGUGUGACGGGGCUACCCCGAGUGCCGUCCGCUGAGGGCGGCUUUUCCCCGGUGUAAGGAGCCGGGGGAAUAAGGAGAGGGCAAGACUGGUGUCAGCCGCCGCGGUAAUACCAGCUCUCCGAGUGGUGAGGACGAUUAUUGGGCUUAAAGCGUUCGUAGCCGGCUCAACAAGUCUUCCGUUAAAUCCAACGAUCUAAUCGUUGGGCCGCGGGAGAUACUGCUGGGCUAGGAGGCGGGAGAAGCCGACGGUAUUCUCGGGGUAGGGGUGAAAUCCUGUAAUCCCGGGAGGACCACCAGUGGCGAAGGCGGUCGGCUAGAACGCGCUCGACGGUGAGGGACGAAAGCUGGGGGAGCGAACCGGAUUAGAAACCCGGGUAGUCCCAGCUGUAAACGAUGCGGGCUAGUGUUGGGGUGGCCACGAGCCACCUCAGUGCCGCAUGGAAGCAAUUAAGCCCGCCGCCUGGGAGUACGCCGCAAGGCUGAAACUUAAGAUGGCGGGGGAGCACCCACAAGGCGUGAGCUGCGUUAAUGACUCACGCCGG